UACGUAGGGGGCAAGCGUUGUCCGGAAUCAUUGGGCGUAAAGAGCGUGUAGGCGGCCAGAAAAGUCCGCUGUGAAAACUCGAGGCUCAACUUCGAGCUGUCGGUGGAAACUUUCUGGCUAGAGUCCGGAAGAGGAGAAUGGAAUUCCUGGUGUAGCGGUGAAAUGCGCAGAUAUCAGGAAGAACACCCGUGGCGAAGGCGGUUCUCUGGGCCGAUAUUGACGCUGAGGAGCGAAAGCGUGGGGAGCGAACAGG
rnacentral:rRNA from 1 species